ACUAUAGGUAUUUCUGCCACUGCAAUUAGUGAAGGGCUGCAGUAUUUUGACUGUAUAAAGGUAGCAUAAUCAUUAGCUUUUUAAUUUGGAGCUGGUAUGAAGGGGACACGGGGAAUUGGUUUAUUUAUAAAGAGAAUUGAAUUUUAUAGUUUUGUGAAAAAUCAAAAAUUUUAUUAAGGGACAAGAAGACCCUAUUUAAGUUUAAUUGUUGUUUAAGGAAAAUAUAAAGGUGAAUAAAUUAAUGUAAUUUUUAAUUAAUGGUUUAGCUGGGGCGGUGAAUUUAAAAACAUUAUUUGAAUUUUAAUAUAGAAUUUAGCGUAAUUAUAGAUCUGAUUAGGUCAAUUGAAUGGAAAAUUACUUUAGGGAUAACAGCGUUAUUAUUUCUGAGAGUUCUUAUUGACGAAAUAGUUUGCGACCUCGAUGUUGGAUUAAGAUUAGCGUUGGUGCAGUAGUUGGCGUGUUUUGGUCUGUUCGACCAAUAGGAUCUUACAUGAUCUGAGUUCAAACCGGA
rnacentral:rRNA from 1 species